GUACUCCACCCCCAGGAGGAGAACGGACUCCGACGGGGAGACCGGGCCGAAGGAAACUGGACCCAGGUGCAAGUGGUUGUCUGAGCGCUCAGAGCCCAAUAAGCUCUCUUGGAAGAGGCCGUUCCCGAGGAGCCAACAGAGGCAGGGCUUUGUGCAUGGCCGGGCAGCCGGCUACCUCCAGCCCAGCCAGCGGCUGCGCGGCGCCGGGCUCGGCUUGGAGGCAAAGCCGCUACGGAGCGGAGAGCGGCGCCUUCCUUAGGGUUCAGAAGGAGUAGAUCAGUCAGCUGCAGAAUCUUGGACAGAAGAGGCAGUGCCGCCCCAGGCAGGAAGCGCAUUGCUCGCCCCGCUCCCCUUAUCCUUUCAGAGAGGCGCAUAUGGAGACUGGGAAGUGUUAAAGAGCCCUGGCUGGAGCAAGGUGAAGGGCUGCAACAGGAUCCAUUGCAAAGAAGGCCCAGAAAUGGAAGACUGUCUUUUCUUACUCAAGAAAGUACCUCUUCAAGUCAGCAACUGGUUUGAUUGAAUGAGGGCAAUGAAACUAGUCCGUGGUGAAAAUUUUUUAAGAAGAAAGUGUCGGUCCGUUGUGAAUCAUGCACACACAGCACUGAACGAACAGAACCUACUGCAGCCUGUGUGCAACGAGAAAUUUCAGCUGGAUGACUGCAUGAGGGGUUUACAAGACCGCUGAAAGCUUGGGACCUGAAGUACAGAAGACAUCAAGAGAGACCGCUGCAGCUUAAGGCUAACCCAGCUAGUGCAGCAUUUUUAUGCUGGAUGCCAGCACAGUAAAGUGGGUCACUGCCCCACAAGAAGGAAUACUUCCUGGAACUGUAAUGUGGUGCUGUGCAGCACAGCUGGACAGCUGGGCCAUGCUUCUAAGCAGACCUGCGUGAUUGGUCUCAUGUGCUUCAUCCUGGGUCUGACUUGGAACAGGAGGGAGUGAUGUGACACACACUGUGCUGAUUUGACAUCCUGCGUGGUUGUGACAUGGUGCAUCCUCCAGAAGAAAUCCACAUGUUCCUCUACAGGCACAAAUCUGACUGUUCCCCUGAUAAGCUCUUCACUGGAAAGAUACAAUUUGGAUGGUUCUCUUCAAAGCCAGUGUGUGUGUUCAUUUAUUGGAAGUGUGUCAGACACCGUAUGUCAAUAAUAUGCCUUUGAUAUGUUGGUGUCGGUAUCAUUUUUUUUAACAGCUGAAUGGCAUGUAUUUAAACAUGAGCACCUGUUCUGUGUUUGUACUGAUUCUUUUCUUUAUUCCUGUAUUUACUCUUGACGAAGAGUUUGAUUCAAACCCAGGAAAAGUGUGGGAUUCAUCCUGUUUUUAAAGAAACGCUGUUUUCAUAGUAUUUCAGCGUGUAGCCAGUGUGUAUCUUUCCAUAGAUGAGAAGGGUAUUGAAAAGAGAGUAUUUUCCCUUUCAGUAACUAGAACAAACUCAUUUUCCAGGCAAAAUGAAAUUUGAUUAGAAGUCUGUCAAAUGAAAGGAUUAUUGUUUUAGUGUUGGGCAGGUUCUGUAAUACAUGAAUUUACUGAAAAGCAGCACAUGU